UGGAAACGGCGCCAACGGCAGCGGCGGCCCCGCCCCCGCCGCUCGCGCCAGCCGCCCCCAGCAGGAGGCGGGAGUGAGGCGCGCGCCGUGGCGACCGUUGACGGGUGGAACGUGAGGAGCGGCCGGUCCCGGGCGAAGAGGGGGAAGCCUGGCUGGGGAGGCGCCCGAGGCCGCGGUGGAACCAGACGCCUCAUCUCUGCUGGACGGAGUCCGGGUUUCCCUCCUCAUCCCGGUAUCCCGUCUUCACACCUGUGCCGCUUGUCUCUCUCCUUGUGUGCUGGCCUUAUAGGCACCAUUGCAGGUUAAAUCUUGCCAGACCCUUCUUCAGAGGAAGAAAGGGAAAUGUUUUGUUUUGUGCAUGGUUAAACUGUAUUUGCUAUUUUCGUGUCCUGUGCCAGGUGCUUUCUGUUUAUCUUGUCAGCUCUGAAUACACUCUCAUCUGAUUUCCAUCUGAUAAGGAUUUCUGACAUAACCUGUUAAUUUAUUUCUUUGUAAGUGCAGGACGUUGCACUCCAUAAUCCUCAGUUUUAUAUUGUAUUUUGUAAUGUAAUUAUCUCAUUUUUUCCUUCUGUAUGUUAUUUUUCUGAUUUUGUGCCAAGUGUCUUCCUACUCAUUCUGUCAAAAUGUUAAAUAAAAACUGAUCCCAAGGGA